UUAACUCUAGCAAAAUGAAGAACAUACGUGAUUACAAGUGUUCGAUUGAUAUAUAAUGGUCAUGAUUGGUAACCUUAUGAAAUGGCUAAUCUGCAAAUAUUUUACCAAUAAAAAAAAAUUUUGAACAAAAAAACAUGAAAACGUAGGUAAAUUUUCGUUGAAAAAACAUAAAAAUCACAAGUUUACAUGAUUGGUCGCCCUAAUUUUCUCUCAAGCUUAGCUAUUGAGGCGCCUUCAGGUGUUGGUGUAGGCCACCAACGUCGCCUCUACACCGCCUCUCUUUGUUAUUUUUUUCAAGUUCGAUCUUCUCGUUACAAUUCUAUCAGCAUUUGUUGCUCUCUUUCCACUGAUUGUGGCGCUGAUUUUGCUCACGGUGGUUCGCUAGGGUUCCAGUGCUCAUAUCAGAUCUGUUCUCUGCUCCGGUGAGUCUUAGACAUCGUGCUCAUGCCUUGCCCCUUACCACUAUUUCCUCGAUGCCAGCUCAUAUCGCAUCACAUUACUCAAAUAUAUGAUCUUCAAUGUGUCUCCUCCUAUAGCGCUAAAUCUCAUGUUUGCUGACCCUCAACUGCAAUCGAUCUUCAUUAUAUUGCAACCGUUCAGCUCUCUCUUAGUUUUUGUGCUCUGCAACCAUGUGUAAGUGAGGUUCCACUCUUGGCCAAGGCUUCAGAUCCGAACCAAGGUCAGCUAAAUACGAGCUCUUUCACCUCCCUUUUCACUGCAAGCUCCUCCGCACUCUCCACGUUCGGUGCUAUAGAAAUCCGCUUUGUCGAUAAGAUCUUACACUACGAUGAAGUAUCCGAGCAAGCUCUGAUCUGUCACACUAGAGUCAACUUAUCCAGUUUACCUCUCUCUGCUCACUGUUUAUCAUGAGUCGACACCCUUCCUUCCGCUGGCGAUCCGUUGGUCUGUUUUGAUCCUCUGUUUUUUAAUUCAUGUGUAGUUUGUGUAGAUCCCUGUUGGUUUUUGCUUGAGCUCUUCAAAAAAUAGUUCAGAUUUAGUUUUCCAAAUCUGGAUAGAUGAGCAUUUUGACAAGGGCUGCGGUUCUCGUUCGGCGUGUUCCGGGUGUGUUGGGUUCUAGAUAGAUUUUGUCUCAGUAUUCAAUGUCUCCUUCUCCAGUUCAAAAGUUCUACUUCGCCUAUGAUGCUUGUUUAAGGUAAUCCUUAAUUUGUUCUGAUUUUUGGUUUAGCUCAUCUCUGGUUUGUUGAUGUGUCUUGGUUCUUUUCUUCUUAUGGUGAUUUCGCCUUGUUUGGAGAGUUUGUUUUUCCUUGGUUUGCUUGCUUCAAAACAGAUUCUUCGGUGUACUCUUUGGUUUUGCAGUAUUCGGCUCAGUCUUAAAGAAACAUUGCUUUCACUCUUCCUUACAUAUCGCCGUAGCUGUUCGAAUGUUAAAGUUGUUUUGUAUCCCUUUGCUGAUUUACCGCGGUUGAACUAGUGGCUCGUGGUAUGUUUCAUAGCACUACAAGUAGUUCAUGCAGGUGGUCUUCUCCAAUAAUUCGGCUUCAUAUGCUUUGCUUCUGCUUCAACUCCUUUCGAUCUUGGUGAUGCCUAUGUUUAAAUGUCUUGUUGAUUGAGUAUCAAGAUUGAAAAAUUCCGGUCAUAAUCUUAGAUCUCUGAAGCUCGUGGUUCCGCCUGGGUCUUGCUCUAUCGUUUUAGUGUUCCAUCUAGUCGGAAGCGGUUGUUCUUGCUCUAAAGAUGAUGUCUCCUCUGGAUAAAGUUAUGUCUAAUAUGUCCCUGUAAGAAGAAGAAGAACCGUGUGUCCUUCCGGAUCUUCCAGAAUUCUACUAUACUGAAAGGAACACUCUAAGCAUGGUGGGUCGUCUUCUCAACCCCCAAUGUCAUAAGAUGUCUGACCUAAUCGUUGAUAUGCCAAGAAGAUGGCAACUCUAUGAUAGAGUUAAAGGUGUUGCUCUCUCUAAAGACAGAUUUCAGUUCAUCUUCAAACAUGAACAUGAUCUCUUAGAUAUUUUGAACCGUUGGGUCCAUGCUCACAACUUGUGGCCGAUUGUGCUGGAGCGGUGGGUAGCGAAACCUCCUCAUGACUUCCUGCAAUACAUCUAUGUGUGGGUGCAGAUGAGAAAUAUACCGGUUAACCACUACACUAAAAAUACUAUCACUUCCCUUGGAGACUUGCGGGGAAAGUUGAGGUUGUGGCCUUCGUUCCUGAAAAGACUUAGACGAUGGACUAUGCUAGAGUCCAGGUGAAGUUCUAUGUCUCCAAACCUCUAAGACGUUCGAAGAAGCUGACACUUCCAGGAGGGGAGGAAGUUAAUAUUCUCUAUGACUAUGAGAGACUUCAGAAGAGGUGCUACACUUGUCAACAUUUGACUCAUGAACAGUCUCUUUGCCCCUGGAGUAAAAACAGGAAGAUGACGGUUGCUCAGCAAACUGCAACAUCCUCGUGCUCUGAGAGGACGGAGGUUAUUGUACGCUUAGAGGAAUAAGAUCCUUUGAAUGGUGUGAUUAGUGAGAAGCAGAUUGGUCUCGACCCUAUGACUGGGAGACCUAAGCUAGCCAAAGAAGUGUUGGAAGGAAUGAGAUGAUGUUGCUUGAUGGUGGCUAAUGGUCAAGAAAGGAUUGCUAGAGAAGAAAGGAUUUGGAGCUCCCUUAAAGACCUGGAGAAUGAUCAUAUUGGUCAGAAAAUCUAUCUCAGGAUGAAACCAAUGCCUCUGAUAUCGAAGAAUUUGGAUGAAGACAAAGACAUUGUAUUUGAUUUCAGUGCUCAACAAUUUACUGAUGCUCUGGUACCCAAGCUUAUGUCGGGUGCUAUUGAUGCAGGUAAAAGGAUUCUUAGGUCUGGAAAAGAGUUAACCUUUCAGGAAGACUUUAUGAGACUUAAAGGCUCGGCUCAAUAUGACUCUUUCAGGAAUGUUCAACGGGUUUUAGCAUAUGUCUCUCUGAGACUAGUGUUUCCGGGACCAACCUGAAAAAAUCCAAGGCAAGAAAGAGACCUGACACCUAAAAAAGAGAGGAAAUAGAAAAAGUCUAGCUAAAGGCUUAGUUGGAAAUGAGAAGCAAGUUGGAGAAAGUGUUAUUACGGAGUUGAAAAGGAAGGCACAUGAUGAUGUCGAGCCAUCUCAAAGCUCUGCAAAGUUUAAAAAACCAUUGGUGGUCUCAAUGAAAAACCAUCCAAUAUUUAAAUGGCGCUGUUGAGUUGAAAUUGUUAGGGUUUGGACAGUGCACAAGAUCUGGUGAUUCUAAGACUGUGGGAACUGAGACAAGAACAUUUGCCAGAAAAUUUUUUUUGAUGGAAACUAAAAACAAUAGAGAUUCUUUUGUGGAUCUUCAGGUUUGGCUUGGUUACGUUAAGAUCAUGACGGUUAAUCAUAUUGGGUACAGCGGUGGCUUGGCUUCUCUUUGUCUAGUUGUUUGUCGAAGUCAAGUUACUGAGAUUAAUAUGGCUUUUGUGUAAUUUUUUGGAAGUCUAUUGUAAUCCUCUAUGUUUUGUGGUCCGAAUUGGAUUGGGGGUCUUUCUGUCUUAAAGUGGAUUUGUGAAAUUGGGACUGGAAACGCAAGUUAAUCUAAUAUAACAACGGAUGACAAAAUUCUUUUUUUA